rnacentral:lncRNA from 1 species
GAGAGAGCUGGUCUCCCAGGUCUGCUGAUAGAGUGUAAUAGAAUCACGAGAGGAACAAUCUCAAACCUGAGACAACUAUAACAACUAACUCCAGAGUUUAAGAUGGCAAAAGGUAAACGUAAUAAUCUUAAUAACAGAAAACAAGACCACUCACCAUCAUCAGAACCCAGCACUCCCACCUUGCCCAGUCCAGGGCACCCCAACACACCCGAAAAGCUAGACCUAGAUUUAAAAGCACAUCUCAUGAUGAUGAUAGAGGACAUCAAGAAGGACUUUAAUAACUCACUUAAAGAAAUACAGGAGAACCCUGCUAAAUAGGUGGAAGACCUUAAAGAGGAAGCACAUAAAUCUCUUAAAGAAUUGCAGGAAAACACGACCAACAGGUGAUGGAAUUCAAUAAAACCAUCCAAGACCUAAAAAGGGAAGUGGACACAAUAAAGAAAACCCAAAGUGAGGCAACGCUGGAGAUAGAAACCCUAGGAAAUAAAUGUGGAACCAUAGAUUCAAGCAUCAGCAACAGAAUACAAGAGAUGGAAGAGAGAAUCUCAGGUGUAGAAGAUUCCAUAGAGAACAUCGGCACAGCAAUCAAAGAAAUGGAAAAUGCAAAAAGAUCCUAACUCAAAACAUUCAGGAAAUCUAGGACACAAUGAGAAGACCAAACCUACGGAUAAUAGGAGUAGAUGAGAAUGAAGAGUUUCAAGUCAAAGGGCCAGCAAAUAUCUUCAACAAAAUUAUAGAAGAAAACUUCCAAAACCUAAAGAAAUGGAUGGCCAUGAACAUACAAGAAGCGUACAGUCUC